AUACGUAGGGGGCGAGCGUUGUCCGGAAUGAUUGGGCGUAAAGGGCGCGUAGGCGGCGCGGUAAGUCUGGAGUGAAAGUCCUGCUUUCAAGGUGGGAAUUGCUUUGGAUACUGCCGCGCUUGAGUGCAGGAGAGGUUAUCGGAAUUCCCGAUGUAGCGGUGAAAUGCGUAGAGAUCGGGAGGAACACCAGUGGCGAAGGCGGGUAACUGGACUGCAACUGACGCUGAGGCGCGAAAGUGUGGGGAGCAAACAGGAUUAGAUACCCUGGUAGUCCACACUGUAAACGAUGAAUGCUAGGUGUAAGAGGUAUCGACCCCUUUUGUGCCGGAGUCAACACAAUAAGCAUUCCGCCUGGGGAGUACGGCCGCAAGGUUGAAACUCAAAUGAAUUGACGGGG
rnacentral:rRNA from 1 species